rnacentral:rRNA from 1 species
UACGGAGGGUGCAAGCGUUGCUCGGAAUUAUUGGGCGUAAAGCGUACGCAGGCGGCGCGACAAGUCGAGUGUGAAAUCCCGGGGCUCAACCCCGGACGUGCAUUCGAGACUGCCGUGCUUGAGUGCGGGAGAGGGAAGCGGAAGUCCUGGUGUAGAGGUGAAAUUCGUAGAUAUCAGGAGGAACACCGGUGGCGAAAGCGGCUUCCUGGCCCGACACUGACGCUCAUGUACGAAAGCGUGGGGAGCAAACAGG